UGGCCCCGUAGCUCAGUGGAUGAGAGCGUUUGCCUCCGGAGCAAAAGGUCGUGGGUUCGAACCCCACCGGGGUCACCAU
rnacentral:tRNA from 1 species